AUGCAAUAAAUCAGCCACGCACACGGAAAAUGCUGGGUGAUUUGAAACAUUUGGAAAACAAAAAGCAGUGAUACAAGUCAGAAGGGCAUCUAAAGGACCAGAGCCACAAAUGAGUUCUAUUACUGAAACCAAGAGAAAGUCACUUGUGGCACCUAAGCCAAAGUGCAUUAGUACAGCAUGGAUGCAAACUCUCAUUGAAAGAUGCUGCCCUUGAUAAAUCACAGCUGCCUGGCACUAGAAUAAUCCUUAGGACUUAAAAUACAGAAUCAUGGACUAGAUAAAUAUUUGUUGUCAGGUGAUAAAAACUGACAAUAUUGACUGCAUAAGCGACUGAAAUAUUUACAAUUAUGAAUUAUGUAAUUUAAAAGACAGAAUUCACUAAGAAAAGCCAAUACACUCACACAAUUGAAAAUAAGAGGGGCUUAUGCAUUCACUAAAUU
rnacentral:misc_RNA from 1 species